rnacentral:tRNA from 1 species
GGAGAAAUAGCUCAAGGUAAAAGCACAGGAUCUGCAUGCCUGAGGUCCCAGGUUCAAUCCCUGGCAUUGCCC